GAUGAACGCUGGCGGCGUGCUUAACACAUGCAAGUCGAACGAAGCAUAGCCAGCUAAGUUUUCGGAUGAAGCGAAGCUAUGACUUAGUGGCGGACGGGUGAGUAACGCGUGGGCAACCUGCCUUUCACAGCGGGAUAACAGAGGGAAGCUUCUGCUAAUACCGCAUAUACCUUUAUAACGCAUGUUAGGGAGGGGAAAGAAUUAUCGGUGAGAGAUGGGCCCGCGUCCGAUUAGAUAGUUGGUGGGGUAACAGCCUACCAAGUCAACGAUCGGUAGCCGGCUUGAGAGAGUGAACGGCCACAUUGGGACUGAGACACGGCCCAAACUCCUACGGGAGGCAGCGGUGGGGGAUAUUGGACAAUGGGGGCAACCCUGAUCCAGCGACGCCGCGUGAGUGAAGAAGUAUUUCGGUACGUAAAGCUCUAUCAGCAGGGAAGAAAGAAGACGGUACCUGACUAAGAAGCCCCGGCUAACUACGUGCCAGCAGCCGCGGUAAUACGUAGGGGGCAAGCGUUAUCCGGAAUUACUGGGUGUAAAGGGAGCGUAGACGGUUAAACAAGUCUGAAGUGAAAUGCCGGGGCUCAACCCCGGAGCUGCUUUGGGAACUGUAGAACUGGAGUGUCGGAGGGGUAAGCGGAAUUCCCAGUGUAGCGGUGAAAUGCGUAGAUAUUGGGAGGAAUACCGGCGGCGAAGGCGGCUUACUGGACGACAACUGACGUUGAGGCUCGAAGGCGUGGGUAGCAAACAGG
rnacentral:rRNA from 1 species